GAUGAACGCUGGCGGCGUGCUUAACACAUGCAAGUCGAACGGAAAGGCCCAAGCUUGCUUGGGUACUCGAGUGGCGAACGGGUGAGUAACACGUGGGUGAUCUGCCCCGCACUUCGGGAUAAGCCUGGGAAACUGGGUCUAAUACCGGAUAGGACAGUGGUUUGGAUGCCAUUGUGGAAAGUUUUUUCGGUGUGGGAUGAGCUCGCGGCCUAUCAGCUUGUUGGUGGGGUAAUGGCCUACCAAGGCGUCGACGGGUAGCCGGCCUGAGAGGGUGUACGGCCACAUUGGGACUGAGAUACGGCCCAGAAUCCUACGGGAGGCAGCAGUGGGGAAUAUUGCACAAUGGGCGCAAGCCUGAUGCAGCGACGCCGCGUGGGGGAUGACGGCCUUCGGGUUGGAAACUCCUUUCGCUAGGGACGAAGCGUUAUGUGACGGUACCUAGAGAAGAAGCACCGGCUAACUACGUG
rnacentral:rRNA from 1 species